GACGGAGGAUGCAAGCGUUAUCCGGAAUGAUUGGGCGUAAAGCGUCCGCAGGUGGCAGUUCAAGUCUGCUGUCAAAGACCGGGGCUUAACUUCGGAAAGGCAGUGGAAACUGAACAGCUAGAGUGUGGUAGGGGUAGAGGGAAUUCCCGGUGUAGCGGUGAAAUGCGUAGAGAUCGGGAAGAACAUCGGUGGCGAAAGCGCUCUACUGGACCGCAACUGACACUCAGGGACGAAAGCUAGGGGAGCGAAUGGG
rnacentral:rRNA from 1 species